CAAGUUGACCAGGCAGUCGCUAUAUUUAUUUAUAGAGGAAAGUCCGGGCUCCAAAGAGCAGAGUGAUGGCUAACAGCCAUACGUCGCGAGACGAGGAAUAGGGCCACAGAGACGAGCGUAUUAAGUUACGGUGAAACGCGGUAACCUCCACUCGGAGCAAGGCCAAAUAGGGUAGCAUUGACACGGCUCGUGUUGCUACCGGGUAGGCUGCUUGAGCGAAUGAGUAAUUGUUCGCCUAGAUGAAUGACUGUCCACGACAGAACCCGGCUUAUCGGUCAACUUAACUA
rnacentral:RNase_P_RNA from 1 species